CUGCAGGUGCUUAGUAGCAAAAGGAGAGGAGUCUAGUGAAUGUCACAGAUUUGCCAAAUAUUACCGGUCCCUUUGCCUAGGUGAAUGGCCAGGGAUAUGCAUAUGGUAUGAGAAGUUUCCAGAUCUCAAAUUCAGAGAUUUGUUUCUUACAUGAGAAAGCUGUGCAGGUCAGAAAUUUUUUG